rnacentral:tRNA from 1 species
UCCCUGGUGGCUCAGAUGGUAAAGAAUCUGCCUGCAAUGCAGGAGAUCCAGGUUUGAUCCCUGGCUGGGGAA